rnacentral:ribozyme from 1 species
CGACGACGACCAGCAACAGUAGGAGAGCUGGUCGUUCCAUCGUCACGGCACGUGCGAUCUUAGCGCAUGCGUUGAAACACUUUCCAACCAAACGUUCCUUAUGGAUGCAAGCCAUUGAAUUAGAAAAAAAUUAUCAGGAGGAGGAGGAUCAUGCUGAUGCUGAUGCUGACAAUGAUGAUACUACU